GAACUCCAAUUUUGUGGACACCGUCACACAUUCUGCCACAAAGCUAACUCGUCCAAGAUUUAAAAUUUGUUUAAAACUGAAGAAGAAAACAAAACUGCAAUUAGUUUAAUGAAAUGAUUCCAUGGCCACCAAAUCCAAUGAUCCGCGGCAGGGAGAGUCCACUCCAAACAAACAAACAAAAAAAGGAAACCCAACUCAACUGCCGUCGCUGGCUCGGCCAGACCACCACACUCAUCCACCGCUUCCUCUUUCCCGGGUCAUCCCCCAGGCCAAAACCUCCAUUCCUCUUUACUCGCAUGACUGCCUCAACUGACCUAUUCAAUCUCACCUCAUCCUCCCUCCUCGCUUCCACUUGUAAACUCCGCCAUGGCAGCUCCACCCUUCAUCUUCCUCUCGCUCCUCCCUUUCCUUCUCUCCCUUCCCCUCGCCCAGACAGGUGAGUAAAUUAACGAGCUGUAUUACUUAGAGAAGAUAUUUCAACUUUUUCUUGCACUUACCCUUUUUUGGGGUUGAAUUUUUGGUAAUUUUGUAGAUACUUUAAUUGAUUGUGGCGCCACCGUUCCUUCCACAAUCGCCGGCCGCCAAUGGCUUUCGGAUGACGG
rnacentral:lncRNA from 1 species